AGAAUAGAAAUGUUUGUGAAAUAAAACUGAUUUUAACUAGAAGGAGAAACAGGUUAAUGGACUUUGUGUUUAAGAGUGUCAAACAGUCUGAGACAAUAAAUGGGGGAAUUAUCUUACGUUAGGGUGAGAGUUUGAUUAUUUAGGAUGAUCCCAGUGAUUUCAUGUGUGCUCUCUGACCUCUGAGUAUCGUAAUAUCAUUAAAGGAAAGAUUUAUGUCUGUAUAAAGGAGAAAAGUUAGCUGAUUGUCAAAAAAGAUUGGCGUAAAGCAUGAAGAAACCCCAGUUUUCCCCAGGGUAAUCAUGAAAGAAGGCCCAGAGAAAGAGGGAGACAAAAGCCUGUUCAGCAGAGGCCCCUUUAGUAUUAUGACUGGGCAGAGACCACUAUAAACUAUAGGAGAAAGAAGUUCUGAUAAACCUCUUAGUAUGCUCAGCCUCCUUCUUUGCUAUGUCCCUAAGCCAACAGUGUAUAACCCAGGCCCUGGUGAUAAUGAGGGUGUCCUAAAGAUCCUGAUGUCCAUGACUUCAUGUAGUUCAGGCACAGAAAGAAUAGCAAAGCUGCUGUCAGAAGUUUAUCAGGCAGAGAUGUUUAUGGUUGAGGAUACCCCAUAUGAAUCUGGGAAAUGGGCUAGGCCUGAGGCAGCCACCUAUUUGUAGAACUCAAUUGAUCCCCAACCUGCCAGGCUUCCUAUCUCAUAGGAAACAUCCUCAUUGAUCCUCUUCAGUUGGAGCCUCCCAAAUUUAAUCUGGAAGACAAAGUGUUGGAAAACCAAAAGAGGCUCACUCAGACCAGCACAGGGAGUCCUCAGAGUUGCAGUUCAAUUCAUUUUAAUUAGAAAAGUAUGAAAAAGGAAUAACACUCUUAUUCUAGCACAGUGCCUUGCCUAGAGUAGUAGUAUGAAAAUUACUUGUUGAAGAAAUAAAUGAAUGGAAAGACAUAGGGAAGAAUGGGCUGUAAAUCCUAAUUAAAAAUAGAGGUAGACAUGAGAUGCCUGGCAUUUUGGAAAGUGACCAAAGAUGGCCAGCUAGAGAUCUAGCAUCUCCAGGAUCCUCAUGUGCCUCUCCUCAAAGCUUCCUCCCAUCUGUAGGAGAUUAGUGAGGCAAGGUGCUGCUCAGAGAGGAGGACCUCAUUGUUCUUAUGACCUUGGCCAGUUGUUCUCAAAGUGUGGUACCUGAAUCAGCAAUAUCACCAUCACUUGGGCUUGUUAGAGAUCCAGAUUCUGGAUCCAUACUCCAUACCUACUGAAUUAGAAACUCUAGGGGAUGAGUAGUGGUGUUCUCUAUUGCUAAGUGAUAGUGGGCCCAGCCAUCUAUUUUAACGAGCCCUCCCAGUGAUUGUGAUACAUACUAAUGUUUGAGAACCAUUGUACUAGGCCAUUCCGGCUGACUCACAAAGAGAAGGCAGUAAUGAGGGCCUACAAAUGGGAGGGACCUAAGUGCCUACCUACUCACUAAUCGCAGGUGCAAACACACAAGGAGUUUGGUGGGCUUAAGGUCAGAGGAAUGUGUAGGGAGGAAUGUAUGUGGAAGCUAAGAUUCAGGGCAAGCUAAAAAUCCGAUACUGCAACGUUUUCCAAAAUCCCAGAAGGCAAACUGUGCAUGUUCUACCCUGAACCACCCACGCAACACUUUCUCCCUUGCCUUAUUUUUAAUUGGAUUCACUGUCCAAAAUGCAGAGGUUUGCUUUGCUUUUUUUCAGAAGUUCCAAACAGCAACUUUGAGAGCAAUGGGGUGCUUGGCAGCUGUUCUGUGUUUUCCAGGAAUCCAACUGAGCAUUGAAAUCUCUCAUUUGCCGACUUAUUUUUAUAGGAAGCCAAUUUAAAGAAAAAAAAAAAGAAAGUUUUCUUAUAGUAUUGGAACUACUUCUAAUUUUAAAAUGACUUUUUUGAUGUAUUUUUGGUUAAAUACUAUGUAGUGUAAUGUAUAAUUGCUCUUGUUUAUUGCUUUUACAAUCAUAUUUAUUAAACAGAUAAUGUCUCUAA
rnacentral:lncRNA from 1 species